GCGUUCAUAGCUCAGUUGGUUAGAGCACCACCUUGACAUGGUGGGGGUCGUUGGUUCGAGUCCAAUUGCACGCACCA
rnacentral:tRNA from 2 species